UUCACAGUGGUUAAGUUCUG
rnacentral:miRNA from 5 species